rnacentral:lncRNA from 1 species
AGGCGGGAAAUCGUCCCUAGACCUCUUGAGGGGAAAGCAUCGACUUCUAGGAGCCGCUUGUCACAACAAUCCUCAUUUCAGGGGUACGUCUCCCCUGAUCAUGUAGACCUGGAGGAAGCUUCUAUUGUUGCACAUGAUGAUGCUCCUUCACUUAUAAACCCUUUUUCAAGAGGGUACACGAACACCUCCUUACUGAUAUACUAUAGAGAUCAUGUUGUUGGACAUGUCUGUGCCAGAGAAGUAUUUUUGUUAACGAUUGUUAUUUAUAUGUUUUAAAUAGCCAAUUAGUCUUAACAGAUAUGCAACUAAUCACAUGAAAAUAUUAUAUAGAGAGAGAGCAAGCAAAUUAGAGAUUUUUACACAAUUAAUCCUUUUGUUUUUCAAAAAUCUGUAACACCUCAAAAUUUGCCCUCCUCUCUUGGGACUAGUUUAACAUAUUGCAUUGCAUUUUUUAGGUCAUUAGGCAUUGCAUAUUUGCAUAU